rnacentral:lncRNA from 1 species
CAGAGAAUAUGAUCUGAAUAUAUCAAUGAUCAAUGAAAGCAGAAUGAAAUUUGUCAACUUCGAGUGUAUCUAUAAGACCAUACACAAUUACACACUUUAAUAAAUACUUUUAACUAGUUUACAAAUUUUGCUUAAUAUGUAACUAGUUAAGUAUUGAUUCCUUAUUAGUACCACAAGUAGACAACACUCAGAACUAUUUUGCCGUAGUGUCCAAGCUAACGUUCAUUUCUUGAGAUUCCAAGCUUCGAUUCUUACUUAUCCCUGUGUUUUCACACACAAUACACUCUUUUAGUUAAAGGAGUGUAAGAUAACUUUUUAACAAAGAAAUCCUAAAGACAACACAAGAACUGACAAUUAGAAAAACUCACUAGAUUCACAUAAAUGUUUAUAGAUUCACAUCUCUUACAGAAAAUUAAGGGUAUGAAUCAACAUUCUAGUUUGAUGCAAAUAAACAAAUAAAACCAAUAAUCAAAAAGGCACAUAUAAGCUCAGAUUCCAAAACUCUAUGAUCAAAAGCUGAAAACCAGAUAAAGUACAUCUAAAGAAGAAGCAAUAGUCAAAUAUAGAAAUAUAUGGAAUUGAAUCGUUUGACAAGAAAAUUAAGAGAGAAAGGGACUACAUGUAGACAUGUGAAUCAGAAAUGAAGAAAUGUGACUUAGCAAUUGACAAGUAAAAAGGGACAUGAAACCACACACUAACUCCUCAUUCACACUUCAAGUCUCAACACAUUCUAAUUGCUAAACUCCACUUGUUCUAAUUCCCACAACUAUAAAUGAUUCAAACAUUCCCCACGUAGAGAAGAACACCAUUAUCUCCAGCUAAGACAAGACGAAGUAAGUAAAAUCAAUGACUUAUUCAAUCCACGACACUUAACACCUAAACUAAAGACAGCUCCAAAUUUUCCAAACCACCAACAUCACGAGACUUAAAAAUACAAACAAAGAGAACACACCAGUUUCUUCACCAAUUCAUAUCCUCUCAACCUUAUCAGCCUUCACCACAUGAUUAGCCUUAGCAUUAACCUCUUACCCAUCAAUGUAAGAUGCAUCAGUUUUUUAUUCCAAUUUGAGUUGAAGAAACAAAAUCCCAGAACCAACAAUUCAUGUAAUCUAGUCAAGCAAACUCAGAUUAAGCAUAAACACCAGCAUAAGCUUUAGAUUAACCAGAAGAUCUUAGCUAUCUACUUUUAAAACCUAACAUAAGCUUUAGCUACAACUCCAAACACCAAACAGAGCGAUUCAUCAAAAACAGAUAAGAACAAUGACUUCAACGGAAUCAAUCUUCUAAUCCACUAAUAAAAGAACAUAAAUUUCAUAGAAAAAUCGAAAUCUAAACAAAACCCAGAUGCAGAAUCAUUAAUAGAAACAGAGAUUGAGUCGGAAAAAAACAAAAACCUAACCUUUGAAAAACAGAGAUCGUUUGUCUCACGGGUUGCAGAGAAAGAAGAGAAAUUAGGGUUGGGUUAUUUUGUAAAUUUUUGAAAAAUAAGGGUAUUUUUGUCAUUUAC